UACGUAGGGUGCGAGCGUUAAUCGGAAUUACUGGGCGUAAAGCGUGCGCAGGCGGUUUGUUAAGACAGGUGUGAAAUCCCCGAGCUCAACUUGGGAAUGGCGCUUGUUACUGGCAAGCUAGAGUGUGUCAGAGGGAGGUAGAAUUCCACGUGUAGCAGUGAAAUGCGUAGAGAUGUGGAGGAAUACCGAUGGCGAAGGCAGCCUCCUGGGAUAACACUGACGCUCAGGUGCGAAAGCCAGGGGAGCGAACGGG
rnacentral:rRNA from 1 species